rnacentral:lncRNA from 1 species
GAACAAGUUUAAACAGAGUUGACUCAUUUUAAGAACUGUUUAGAAGAUAACCUUGUGUUUAUUAAUUAUAUAUUUGCAGAAAUUGGAGGCAGAAGGUUACCAACAUUGCCUGGUGUCCAGCCAGGAGGUAGAGCGUGGUGGCAUCCAGAGCCUUCCUCCAACUCCUGCCUGGCGUGGUUUUUAUUCAUCUUUGUGUUUCCAAGAAACUUCUCAGUGUCUCAGGAGUAUUAGGCACUCAGUACGUGUUUGGUAGUUACAUGAAUGAAUGCAUAAUGACUAAGUGAGUUAAUGGAUGAAGCUAAUUGUCUCUCCCUUUUGUUUUUCCAGAGCUUUCCAAGGUGAAAGUGUUGGUCACUCUUUCUUCAUCUCAGAUUUAAUCAACUAAGAAGGCUGCAAAUUGAACAUCAGUCCACAAAACUCAGGAGUACAUGAAAAGCAUUGUGCCUUAUUUUUAACUAACUCAAAUUCUAUGUCAGUCUCCCUUUUAUGCUGGAUGUUGGGGCUAAAUCUCAGUGGGUUCCUUAUUCUGCCAGACCUGUGUCCAGUUUGGGGGCUUCACGUAGAGCCACCCCAUCACAGGAGAGGGAAGCGUCUUGCUCUUGGUUGCCAUUGCUCCACCGUCUUGUCUUCCGAGCUUUGAUGUUCACCUUCCUUUUCACCACUCGGAAGCUUCCUGCCAUGAUACAUUGAGACCUCAAUGCUAAUGCUAAUUGGGGUUUGGGGUUCUCAUAAACUCAGAAGUCCAGGAAAAUCGCCUGCUGCCUCCCACAACACGCUGAGGCCAUUCUGGAAUCCUACCACUUACCCGGAGCCUGCUGGCCUCAACUGUUUUGAAGUCUGUGUCUGGGCCAUGCAGAGAGCUGCCUGGGUUCCUUUCCUGAACCGCCUGCUUGGCCACACCUCCUGACAUCCUGUGCUGAGCUGAGUGAAAACUCCACA